rnacentral:rRNA from 1 species
AGGACGAACGCUGGCGGCGUGCUUAACACAUGCAAGUCGAGCGGAAAGGCCCUUCGGGGUACUCGAGCGGCGAACGGGUGAGUAACACGUGAGUAAUCUGCCCUUAGCUCUGGGAUAGCUCCGGGAAACCGGGAUUAAUACCAGAUACAACCACUUUAGACAUCUGUUGUGGUGGAAAGAAUUUUGGCUAAGGAUGAGCUCGCGGCCUAUCAGCUUGUUGGCGGGGUAACGGCCCACCAAGGCAGCGACGGGUAGCUGGUCUGAGAGGAUGGCCAGCCACAUUGGGACUGCGACACGGCCCAGACUCCUACGGGAGGCAGCAGUGGGGAAUAUUGCGCAAUGGACGAAAGUCUGACGCAGCGACGCCGCGUGUGGGAUGAAGCCUUUCGGGGUGUAAACCACUGUUGCCCGGGACGAAACUCCUCUUUCGAGAGGAUUGACGGUACCGGGUGAGGAAGCACCGGCUAACUCUGCGCCAGCAGCCGCGGU